ACGACUACACUUAGUAUAUCCCGUGUAGUCCUAGCCGUAAACGAUACUCGCUAGGUGUCGGCCACGGUGCGACCGUUGUCGGUGCCCGUAGGGAAGCCGUGAAGCGAGCCACCUGGGAAGUACGGCCGCAAGGCUGAAACUUAAAGGAAUUGGCGGGGGAGCACAACAACGGGUGGAGCUUGCGGUUUAAUUGGAUUCAACGCCGGAAAUCUUACCGGGACCGACAGCAACAUGAAGGCCAAGCUGAAGACUUUGCCGGAUUAGCUG
rnacentral:rRNA from 1 species